GACGAACGCUGGCGGCGUGCUUAACACAUGCAAGUCGAGCGGUAAGGCCCUUUCGGGGGUACGACGAGCGGCGAACGGGUGAGUAACACGUGGGUGACCUGCCCUCAGCUCUGGGAUAAGCCUGGGAAACCGGGUCUAAUACUGGAUAUGACUCCAUGACGCAUGUUGGUGGGGUGGAAAGCCUUGUGCGGCUGAGGAUGGGCCCGCGGCCUAUCAGCUUGUUGGGUGGGGUGAACGGCCUACCAAGGCGACGACGGGUAGCCGGCCUGAGAGGGCGACCGGCCACACUGGGACUGAGACACGGCCCAGACUCCUACGGGAGGCAGCAGGUGGGGAAUCUUGCGCAAUGGGCGAAAGCCUGACGCAGCGACGCCGCGUGA
rnacentral:rRNA from 1 species